rnacentral:lncRNA from 1 species
UAUAUGUAUAUAACAACUUUUUAUUGAAGGAUACACUAUCCUCCGCUCAAGAAAAGAAGUCGUUGGUCACACAGAACCAGGAAGAGUUCAGGAUUUUCUGAAUUUAUUCCGUCGGAGGGGGUGGGGGAGGAAGUCUUCUACCUCUGCAGAAUCGGAAACAUCAUCGAUAUAUUUCGAUGAUAUCAGAAACUCCGAAGUCCAGGAAGGUGGGACCGAAAAAACGUAAACACCUGAACUUAAGUCCUAUGGCAUAACCAUGGAUACUGCCUUUUCGGCUUUCGAAAGGAAGAAUACGGGAAGUAUUCAUUCUCUGUAUACUUCCGGCUCGUCAAUGACCCAGAAGAAGGAAGGAUAUCUGAUCCUGUUGCUCCUGAGCUGAGUAAUUCCUCAGUGUCCUAUCAAGAGGGGAACAAUCCCAGGUGUAGGAAUAACAGGUCUUCUAAGUUCCUUGUGGUAUAUCGUCGGCGAAACAAGUAAUUCAAAUAAGUAAGAACAAGGUCUUACGGUUUGUGAUAAUUCAACCUCCCUUAAGCAAUUUGAAACUCCUCUUUUACCCUGAGGUCGGAUUUUAAAAAUUAGAUAUAGGAUUACAACAAAUAUAAGACCUCUAUGAAGACGUCUCCAACCAGUUUCCAUAUUCAAAACUUUAUUCCAUGCAACGACUCAGCAUAUAUUUUACUUCAUGAAUGAUUAAAAUAAUUGAAAAAAUUUUUCAAGAUCGCUUUUGAAAUCAAUAAAUCAGAAUUUUUCAUUAAUGAAGUAGUAACAAAUUUUAGUAAUGAGAUAAGUUCACAGUUUUCAAUUUGAUAAUAUUGACAACUCAACCCAUCUAAUAAAUUGAUCGGAUUUAAAACUGAAUAAUUUAUUCGAUCUAUUAUAGAACAGUCUUAAUUGCUCUGGUGAGAAAGAAGAAGACUGCAAUAAUGAAAUCCCACUUUUGGAACUAACUCAAAAAAAAAAAAAAUCAAAGAAAAAUAAGGAAUAGAUGGAAGGGUUAGAGUUUUUUCUUGGAGAAGAAUCUUAAAUUAAUAUGACAAUUCCUUUAGUUGUUGGAAAAUUUAUGUCCUAAAUUAUCCUAUUUAUAUUUUUCAUUACGUGUUAUUUGUGUCUUCGGAUUUUUUCCGGGGGAAAUAAAUAUCAUUUAUGAUCUAAAAAA